AACCUGGUUGAUCCUGCCAGUAGCAUACGCUUGUCCAGAGGGACUUUCGGUGACUAACCGAAGGAAGUUAGGGGCAAUAACAGGUCUGUGGUGCCCUUAGAUGUCCUGGGCCGCACGCGCGCUACACUGACACACGCAGCGAGUUUUCCUCGUCCGAAAGGUCUGGGUAAUCUUGUAAAUGUGUGUCGUGAUAGGGAUAGAUUAUUGCAAUUUUUAAUCUUGAACGAGGAAUUCCUAGUAAAUGCGAGUCAUCAGCUCGCGUUGAUUACGUCCCUGCCCUUUGUACACACCGCCCGUCGCACCUACCGAUUGAAUGAUUCGGUGAAACUUUCGGACCGCAGCCAGGAUGCCUCUGGCAACUUGGCAGUGGGAAGUU
rnacentral:rRNA from 1 species